rnacentral:misc_RNA from 1 species
GAAAUGCGAUACGUGAUGUGAAUUGCAGAAUUCAGCGAAUCAUCGAGUCUUUGAACGCACAUUGCGCCCCUCGGUAUUCCGGAGGGCACGCCUGUUCGAGCGUCAUUUUACACCUCGGGCCCGGCCCGGUUCUGGGAGCAGCCGCCCGUCCCAUUUGGCGGGCGCUCCUGUAACGCUUCGGCGACGCGGUCCCGGACCCUUAGACGCGGCAAGUCCAAUCGUCUCGCGGGCUCCGGGCGUGUGUCUGCCGCCUAAAGGCGCCUGCGCGCCGUCUCGCAAGCCUUGACCUCGGAUCAGGCGGGGAUACCCGCUGAACUUAA